GUCGACCGGCGCACGGGUGAGUAACGCGUAUCCAACCUGCCCACCACUUGGGGAUAACCUUGCGAAAGUAAGACUAAUACCCAAUGACGUCUCUAGAAGACAUCUGAAAGAGAUUAAAGAUUUAUCGGUGAUGGAUGGGGAUGCGUCUGAUUAGCUUGUUGGCGGGGUAACGGCCACCAAGGCGACGAUCAGUAGGGGUUCUGAGAGGAAGGUCCCCCACAUUGGAACUGAGACACGGUCCAAACUCCUACGGGAGGCAGCAGUGAGGAAUAUUGGUCAAUGGACGAGAGUCUGAACCAGCCAAGUAGCGUGCAGGAAGACGGCCCUAUGGGUUGUAAACUGCUUUUAUAAGGGAAUAAAGUGAGAGUCGUGACUCUUUUUGCAUGUACCUUAUGAAUAAGGACCGGCUAAUUCCGUGCCAGCAGCCGCGGUAAUACGGAAGGUCCGGGCGUUAUCCGGAUUUAUUGGGUUUAAAGGGAGCGUAGGCCGGAGAUUAAGCGUGUUGUGAAAUGUAGAUGCUCAACAUCUGAACUGCAGCGCGAACUGGUUUCCUUGAGUACGCACAAAGUGGGCGGAAUUCGUGGUGUAGCGGUGAAAUGCUUAGAUAUCACGAAGAACUCCGAUUGCGAAGGCAGCUCACUGGAGCGCAACUGACGCUGAAGCUCGAAAGUGCGGGUAUCGAACAGGAUUAGAUACCCUGGUAGUCCGCACGGUAAACGAUGGAUGCCCGCUGUUGGUCUGAAUAGGUCAGCGGCCAAGCGAAAGCAUUAAGCAUCCCACCUGGGGAGUACGCCGGCAACGGUGAAACUCAAAG
rnacentral:rRNA from 1 species